rnacentral:lncRNA from 1 species
CCAUACUGCUCUUUUCAAUUGUAUAUUUUUAAAAUGAGUGUUGAAAUUACUGUAGAUAUAUCUUAAGUAGUAUCGGUGAUAGGCACGUGGUGGACUCCAUCCAAUAGACUCAUCUACGAUGGCAUUUAAUAUACCUGGAUGCCUGUCAGAAAUUAAGCAUAUUCCAUUUCUAUCUUUGACGAUAUGUGUUCUGAGUUGGAAAAGAAACCAACUCCAACUUGCAGUCGUCUCC